rnacentral:lncRNA from 1 species
UAUUUGGUUUUCUUGAGUUUUACGCAGUUUGACAUUUCAUUGUUCCUUCAAUGCACUUCAUAUGAUAUCAGUAAUUCCAUAAAUUUUUUCUUCUUUCAGGUGGCUUUAGGAAGACAUGUUUUCCAAAACCUUCAAAAUAGGCUGGUGCAGUCCUACCAACAGCAGCCCUUGGACCUUGAUCAUAUUGAGUUCCUCUGCGUGAACGCAUCAACUCUAGUCUGUUCUCUUUCUGCUCAUAUUAAUGUUCCAUCACUGGUAGUUGAAGCUCUUCACCACCUCAUCUGCCUCAUCCAUUCCAAUAUGGAUACAAGAAGGUCUGCCAUUGUUGUUGACAGCUCAGCUGGUGAACGGGGGAGGGCAAAGCUCUAUGUUUCCAAAGACCACCUCAAAGAUCUACUAAAGAUGGACCUCUCCGUUUCUUGUAUCUCCAAGCUUUUGGGCAUAUCGCAGAAAACAGUCCGACGAAGAAUGGAAGAGUGGGGCCUCUCAAUAACGGCAACCUACAGCUCACUAUCAGAUGAUGAACUUGACAACUUAAUUGCAGCCAUAAAACAGGAAUCGAAAGAUCUGGAUAUGGACUUGUGAUGUUUGGUGUUGUUGAUGGCUUCUCAAGGAAGAUCUUGUACUUGAAAGCAGCUAACAACAACAAGGCUUCUACAGCACUGACGUUCUUGCUUGAGGCUGUACAGAAGCAUGGAUUUCCAUCGAGGUAUAAUGUGAUAGGUUUAUAGCAUAAACCUACUCGCUGGAACGUUCAGGACAAUUUGCUACACAGCAGAAACAAGACACAAGUAGGCAAAGUUCUUUGUAGUACUCAUGCAUGAGGGAGACCUGCCUGGAGCCAAGUGUCGUUCCACCCACUUGACCUCCAUCAGACUCUCAGCCAGGUUCCCCAUAGCACUCCUUUUAUUGUGGUUACAUGAAUAUGCAUAGGGUCAUUAACAUAUGAUGUAUACAUGUGGACAAAGAAUACCGUGUGUGUGUGUGUGUGUGUGUGUGUGUGUGUGUGUGUGUGUGUGUGGGGUCAAGAUAUGACCCCAUGAAGACUCCCCAAAGCUGGUGCCAGGAGUCUAGCGGUCCAUCUAAACAAAAGGCACUUAGACUAAAACAGAUAUAUGUGUGUUUGCUAUACCAUAUAUCAGCAAGAAAAGAUACGACCUCUCCUAGGAGGUGUGUGAUCUAUGCCAGAACACUCUGAAGAGGAGUGAACGCACUCCCCUCUUCAUGCUACACAGAGUUGUUACAGACCUCCUGGGAUGAGACCUUCUUUCAAUAUGCCAUCAA